UCUCCAGUGCCACAGUACUAGUCAGGUCC
rnacentral:piRNA from 1 species